UUAAGCGACUAAGCGUACACGGUGGAUGCCCUGGCAGUCAGAGGCGAUGAAGGACGUGCUAAUCUGCGAUAAGCGUCGGUAAGGUGAUAUGAACCGUUAUAACCGGCGAUUUCCGAAUGGGGAAACCCAGUGUGAUUCGUCACACUAUCAUUAACUGAAUCCAUAGGUUAAUGAGGCGAACCGGGGGAACUGAAACAUCUAAGUACCCCGAGGAAAAGAAAUCAACCGAGAUUCCCCCAGUAGCGGCGAGCGAACGGGGAGCAGCCCAGAGCCUGAAUCAGUGUGUGUGUUAGUGGAAGCGUCUGGAAAGGCGCGCGAUACAGGGUGACAGCCCCGUACACAAAAAUGCACAUACUGUGAGCUCGAUGAGUAGGGCGGGACACGUGGUAUCCUGUCUGAAUAUGGGGGGACCAUCCUCCAAGGCUAAAUACUCCUGACUGACCGAUAGUGAACCAGUACCGUGAGGGAAAGGCGAAAAGAACCCCGGCGAGGGGAGUGAAAAAGAACCUGAAACCGUGUACGUACAAGCAGUGGGAGCACGCUUCGGCGUGUGACUGCGUACCUUUUGUAUAAUGGGUCAGCGACUUAUAUUCUGUAGCAAGGUUAACCGAAUAGGGGAGCCGAAGGGAAACCGAGUCUUAACUGGGCGUUAAGUUGCAGGGUAUAGACCCGAAACCCGGUGAUCUAGCCAUGGGCAGGUUGAAGGUUGGGUAACACUAACUGGAGGACCGAACCGACUAAUGUUGAAAAAUUAGCGGAUGACUUGUGGCUGGGGGUGAAAGGCCAAUCAAACCGGGAGAUAGCUGGUUCUCCCCGAAAGCUAUUUAGGUAGCGCCUCGUGAAUUCAUCUCCGGGGGUAGAGCACUGUUUCGGCAAGGGGGUCAUCCCGACUUACCAACCCGAUGCAAACUGCGAAUACCGGAGAAUGUUAUCACGGGAGACACACGGCGGGUGCUAACGUCCGUCGUGAAGAGGGAAACAACCCAGACCGCCAGCUAAGGUCCCAAAGUCAUGGUUAAGUGGGAAACGAUGUGGGAAGGCCCAGACAGCCAGGAUGUUGGCUUAGAAGCAGCCAUCAUUUAAAGAAAGCGUAAUAGCUCACUGGUCGAGUCGGCCUGCGCGGAAGAUGUAACGGGGCUAAACCAUGCACCGAAGCUGCGGCAGCGACACUAUGUGUUGUUGGGUAGGGGAGCGUUCUGUAAGCCUGUGAAGGUGUACUGUGAGGUAUGCUGGAGGUAUCAGAAGUGCGAAUGCUGACAUAAGUAACGAUAAAGCGGGUGAAAAGCCCGCUCGCCGGAAGACCAAGGGUUCCUGUCCAACGUUAAUCGGGGCAGGGUGAGUCGACCCCUAAGGCGAGGCCGAAAGGCGUAGUCGAUGGGAAACAGGUUAAUAUUCCUGUACUUGGUGUUACUGCGAAGGGGGGACGGAGAAGGCUAUGUUGGCCGGGCGACGGUUGUCCCGGUUUAAGCGUGUAGGCUGGUUUUCCAGGCAAAUCCGGAAAAUCAAGGCUGAGGCGUGAUGACGAGGCACUACGGUGCUGAAGCAACAAAUGCCCUGCUUCCAGGAAAAGCCUCUAAGCAUCAGGUAACAUCAAAUCGUACCCCAAACCGACACAGGUGGUCAGGUAGAGAAUACCAAGGCGCUUGAGAGAACUCGGGUGAAGGAACUAGGCAAAAUGGUGCCGUAACUUCGGGAGAAGGCACGCUGAUAUGUAGGUGAAGCGACUUGCUCGUGGAGCUGAAAUCAGUCGAAGAUACCAGCUGGCUGCAACUGUUUAUUAAAAACACAGCACUGUGCAAACACGAAAGUGGACGUAUACGGUGUGACGCCUGCCCGGUGCCGGAAGGUUAAUUGAUGGGGUUAGCGGUAACGCGAAGCUCUUGAUCGAAGCCCCGGUAAACGGCGGCCGUAACUAUAACGGUCCUAAGGUAGCGAAAUUCCUUGUCGGGUAAGUUCCGACCUGCACGAAUGGCGUAAUGAUGGCCAGGCUGUCUCCACCCGAGACUCAGUGAAAUUGAACUCGCUGUGAAGAUGCAGUGUACCCGCGGCAAGACGGAAAGACCCCGUGAACCUUUACUAUAGCUUGACACUGAACAUUGAGCCUUGAUGUGUAGGAUAGGUGGGAGGCUUUGAAGCGUGGACGCCAGUCUGCGUGGAGCCAACCUUGAAAUACCACCCUUUAAUGUUUGAUGUUCUAACGUUGGCCCCUUACCGGGGUUGCGGACAGUGUCUGGUGGGUAGUUUGACUGGGGCGGUCUCCUCCCAAAGAGUAACGGAGGAGCACGAAGGUUUGCUAAUGACGGUCGGACAUCGUCAGGUUAGUGCAAUGGUAUAAGCAAGCUUAACUGCGAGACAGACAAGUCGAGCAGGUACGAAAGUAGGUCAUAGUGAUCCGGUGGUUCUGAAUGGAAGGG
rnacentral:rRNA from 1 species